UUAACUCUUUUUUGUGGAUAUGUAAGAAAAUUGUUGGACUGUCCUGCUGUUUAAGUGAAUAAGGUCAAAUAGGGACAGGCCCUCUAUUCAGUCUAGCAAACAGCAGUGGCUACUAAUGAAUGCUUCGGGAAGGCAUGUAAAUAAUGUCUGGAAAUGUAGAGUUUAAAAGAACCCAGUGUUUUAAAAUGCCUUUUGAAUGGUCCUGGGACCAAGGUUAACAAAACUGCUAAAGUAGAUUUCCCUUUUUCUACAUAUUCUGCUAUUUAUUUCUUGUUGUUGCCACUUAAAUAGUGCCUAUAUUGUUUGCGGUAGUGUCCACAGCAUUAAUAUUUGAAGUUACUUACAAUAGCAGGUGUUAAAUGUUCAAAUUAAAUCAUUAUUUAGAAGAUGAGCUUUUUGAUAUUUAGUUUGUUUGAAAGCGUUCACAUAUUGUUACACAGCAUAGAUAGACUGUCGCUAUUUCAUGCUUCAGAACAGAAUAUAUUACUGAACUAAGAUAAGGGAAAUUUCUUCUGUAAUUCUGCUUGUGUCAUUGGGUAACCAUGGUUUUAUAAAACAUUUCAGCUUUUUUAUUAUUACUUGUGGAUUGUUUCAGUGAGGGUUUCUUAAUUUUAUUUUUUUUUUGUAAUUAGUAAUGCUGUACCAUAUUUCAUGCAUGAAAGAAAAGUGUAAACUUAAACACAAAUCCAAAAUGGAGGUCCUUACCAGAGCAAAACUGAAGGAGAAAAAAAUAUGGAAGUACUAAAGCAGAGGUUCCCAAGUUUACUCUGCUGAAGUUUGGCACUGACGUUGGUAUCUAAAGGACUGUUGGUGCCAGUGGUGUUAAUUUCUCUUCAUAAGUAUUUUUUAGGUUUAUAGGUAUUAUCUCAGGGCAGAACCUCUAUCCUACAUUCUUCAGCCUGUGAACCACCUGAAACCAGGACCCAGCUUUGUGCUUCUACCUUGCUUAGGGGUUCAUCACCCCCUAUUUCCCUCUAUCCUUUUGUCAUCUCUCAAAAUCUAUCCCGGUACAGCAGGUCCCCUUGGAACUGCUCUCAUAACAGUACCUGAUUGGAAGACAUUUGAAGUGAAAUGCAAGUGUGGCACUGGUUCUGAGUGCAGCUGUAAGUGCUAUAAUGUUCCAUGCUUAGGAAUAAUGUGCGGCAAGUGACUGGUCCCACAAACCCUUCUGCAGAUAAGUAAUCCUGUCAAAGGCAGUUGAGUGCAUUUGAUUAAGGAUUACAUGUGAUUAGUGGUCUGCAAGGUUAAGAGUACAACUUGUAUCAUUAAUGAGUAUUCACAUAUUAAUGCUGCUUUGAGCAGAGAUUGAACUAGAUGACCUCUGAGGCCUAUUCCAACUAGAAUGAUUUUUUGAUUAUCACACUUGUGUUAUGCAAAUAGAUACUUCCUUUAUAAAAAAAUCUGUUAAUUGGAUAAGCUAAACUCUGGUAAGUCACUGCUUAUUUUACCUACUUGCAUCAUGUUGUAGCAUGGAGUUGCAAAUUUGAUCCAAGUUACAGAUUUAAAACACUAAGAGGAAUACACCCAUGCUUUUUUGUGUAUUGCUUCAUGUUCUCGUAUAAAGAUUUAUGUCAGAUUGAAUUCCUUGUGUAGGAAUUCUUUCCUAGCAUACAGUUGACUUGUUCUAAAAUUAGUCCAGAAUAGAGUGCCUGAAAAUUUGAUGCUUUAUGUGUAAUUGAGGUGUGUGAAUGGAUUAAAACUUGCUCUGCCGAAUUCAGGUACCGCUAGUACUGAGACUACAGUAACAAAGGCAUCACUGCAGGUUAGCAGCCUAAGAAAGGCUUGAGGCCCUAAAAACUUUCCAAAGCAAGGACUCAGAAUGUGAGAGGGCAUUCUUAUAUUUAAAAAAAAUCCCAAACCCCCUACCACCCCAACAAACCAGCACACACACCCUCCCCAUUAGAAUAUACUAUGCAGAAUCUGAAUAUUAUGUAGAUGUUGAGACACAGCUGGAUCACUUUAAUAAACAAUAAUCCUUCUCAUGUGCAGGGAAUCAUGGAUUUUCUUCCUGUGUCUGGAUAAAAUUUGUAGCUGUUGAUACCUCUAUAACUGUUCUUGUUUAGUAUUGUUAAUUCCUUACUUUUAAGCAAGAGGUUGGUGGUAAGAGAGGAAGUCUCUAAACUGUAAAAGGCCAAUCACUUCCACUUGCAUGCAAUUAGAAAUGUUUUUAUGUAACAUUUUAAGCCUCCUAAUAUUUGAAUUAAUCUCUGUAACAGGCUGUUGUCAUGUCUUACUGGUAGCAGUGUAUUUCAGGAAAACAUUUGGUUGUAUGCUUUAUUUUAAAAAUACAAGGAUGGUUAACCUCACAAGUAAUGUGUUAAGGACCUGGCAGGUCUCUUGGGCUUUUAGGGAGUAUAGAAAGCAACUAAAAGAAAUAAGAGGUGCUAGGAAGGAGUGGAGUUACUUCUUUAUGCUGCUUGUCACCACAAGGAUAUUGUGGGCAUUUUACUCUUUUCAAAUAAUGUUGAUUGGAUGUUAUCUGAUUAUGGGAUUAGGGAAGCAAAAGACUGAAUGCUAGAAUAAAGUGCUGAAGACUCCUAUGGCACAAGGACUCAGUGCUAUUCAUUCAUUUAGUGGUUCUAAAGGAUGAAGUGGCUGAUCUGCUAAGAAGCAUGCAUCUCGUUAGGAUGAGAUGCUGUGCCAGAAGACCGGAAGCUGUCAAGUGCUGUACAUACUGUACUUUUAAACUGAACACAAGGAGCAGAGCUGGAAUUUGCAGACCAAGGACUCUUAUUUUAAUGCCACUUGAGUAGAUUUGAAUUCUGCACGGAUAGUCAAGUAGUUCCGUGAGCACAAGAUAACAACAGCUUUCUAUGCAGUUGCAUCUUGGAGGUAAUGAAAAAUACCAGCUGCAGCUGGGGUACUCGUAAUGCGUCUCUUACUUGUGUGCUUGUUCCCCAAUAACAAAAGCAUAGGCUGCAGUCUGUACUUCAGUUUGGUCUGUUUGUGGGUUGGUCUUCUAUAUCUACUUGCUCAGUACUUUGGAUUUCUGAAAUAUCUAAAUUCUUAUUAAACUGUAAAUGACUUUUCAAUUUUCCUUUUUGAUAAAAUUCAAAAUAAGGUAGUGGAUUUGAAGGUUAGAAAAGGCCAGGCCUAACCUAAGCAGACAUGUUAAACUGCAUUAAUCUCUUCUGUGUUUAGGAGUCUAAACAAUGACUGAGUUGCUUCUGGUGUUAGUAGACAAGAGAGGGAUGGACCCACAUAUUGAUAGACUCACGCACCCUGUUUAGUUCAUCCCACCUUAAACUUGCAGUGUAUGGCCUUUGGCAGGAAAUUGGACUGCAGGCAAUUUUGGUGAGGCUCUACAAGUCAUCAUUUUUGAUGCCAUUGUGGGGAUGAUGACCAGUGAUGCAGAGGUGGAACUGAAAGUUAAAGCAGUCCAGUAGUACACUAUGCUGCUUUCGGUGGCAGAGCUGUGAUUUACCUUGUAAUUUACAUUCAGGUGACAACUGCAGUUUCUUAAGUGCUGACAUUUGUAGCUGCAAUUAGCUGUGUGGUCUUGUUCCCUCACUUUCCCUCCUAUUGUAUUAGCACAGUGAUUUGUGCCAUCAUGCAGUGACUGGAAUCAGAAAAUUGAUCCUGACUUUGAGAGGGGUCUGUGGCAAGCAGCAAUUUCUAAUCCAAGCUAGUUCCUCACUCUAAUCUAGUGGGUGUCUCCACCAGGAGAUGGGAUCGUGACCCAAAGAUCAGAACAAGCAGCAGGAGGGUCCUCUCUCUUUGAACUGGCAUUUUUCCAGAAAUGAUCAUCAGAUUAUGCCUCUAGAAUCUGUGACUCAUCUUGCCCUCAAUUCAAUUACUUCAGAUGAUCUGUAAAUUUUCAAUAAUGGCAAUACAUUCAUUCUGCCAUUUGGAGGAGCCUGUGCCACAGAAUAAUGAUCUGAAGAAAGCUCACUUAUUUGCAAGGAAGAGUCUUCAUUUGGGAAGUAGCGCUGAUGCAGCUCAAGGGUGCUUUUCCAAGUCCAGACUCUUUCAGCAGAACUAUUAUUUUCCUAACACAACCUCUGGUACAAGGAUAAAAUUGGAUAAAGGAACAGAGUCCUGUAUCUGAAGAGUAAGAAGAAACCAUUUUGGUAGGUGUGGGUUGCUUGUCAGAAAUGCGUUCCAAAGCUUGAGUGCAAAGGAA